UCACAGAGAGUUGGUUGGACU
rnacentral:miRNA from 1 species